rnacentral:rRNA from 1 species
CCUACGGGGGGCAGCAGUGAGGAAUAUUGGUCAAUGGGCGGAAGCCUGAACCAGCCAAGUCGCGUGAGGGAUUAAGGCCCUGCGGGUCGUAAACCUCUUUUGCCGGGGAGCAGUGGUCCGGACGCGUCCGGGCCGGGAGAGUACCCGGAGAAAAAGCAUCGGCUAACUCCGUGCCAGCAGCCGCGGUAAUACGGAGGAUGCGAGCGUUAUCCGGAUUUAUUGGGUUUAAAGGGUGCGUAGGCGGGCAUUUAAGCCGGCGGUCAAAUGUCGGGGCUCAACCCCGGCCUGCCGUCGGAACUGGGUGCCUUGAGUGGGCGAGAAGUAUGCGGAAUGCGUGGUGUAGCGGUGAAAUGCAUAGAUAUCACGCAGAACCCCGAUUGCGAAGGCAGCAUACCGGCGCCCGACUGACGCUGAGGCACGAAAGUGCGGGUAUCGAACA